ACACCGAUGGUCUAGUGGUAGAAUACGCCCCUGCCACGGGCGAGACCCGGGUUCGAUUCCCGGUCGGUGUA
rfam:Guillardia theta CCMP2712 unplaced genomic scaffold GTITHscaffold_2, whole genome shotgun sequence.